rnacentral:rRNA from 1 species
UACGGAGGGGGCUAGCGUUGUUCGGAAUUACUGGGCGUAAAGCGCACGUAGGCGGCUUUGUAAGUUAGAGGUGAAAGCCCAGGGCUCAACCCUGGAAUUGCCUUUAAGACUGCAUCGCUAGAAUUGUGGAGAGGUGAGUGGAACUGCGAGUGUAGAGGUGAAAUUCGUAGAUAUUCGCAAGAACACCAGUGGCGAAGGCGGCUCACUGGCCCGGUACUGACGCUGAGGUGCGAAAGCGUGGGUAGCAAACAGG